AAUAACAUCAAGAAGCGGUUAAAACAUGGGUAAAAUAACAUCAACACAUAUCGAAAUAUGUCAAACAUCAUGUAUGCACUGUGUUUGUUGUUCAAUGCUCAAACCACAUUUCAAAAUUAUGAAACUGGAAGAGUGGCCAAUAAUUGCUCAAAUUCCUAUUGUAUGCAAGAUCAUUGGUGGUAUGAUCAAGCCGCUGGAUUUACAACAAUGAUGAGGGUUGUUCAUUCCUAUACUCCUGUUCUUUCAGUCCUUAGAAGAGGCAAAAGUUCAAGUACAGUUGGUUAGAUAUAUGCAAUCUCAAAUUUACAAUCAGUUUGGUUUUAAUGAGUUGUUGAGAAGGGAAAGCUGUUGAGAUAUUUAAGUUACUCUGAGAAGGGACUUGGCCUUUCUGCUCUGGUUACGUUUGGCCAACGGAAAGCAAAAGACGAAAUAAUUAUUGAACUUUCUGUAUUGAGUAAUCUGAACUUCUGGAUGUGAACGAUUAAAGCAAACUGUAAAUGCACUGUAAAAUGUACAAGAAACAGAGGAGAUUCUGAGGAAGAGAACAUUGAAUGUCAAUGAGAAGAGAAAGUAAAGUUUCAAUGGUCUCUUAUUUUCUUUUGUCAAGUUGGCUAGUGAAAGAUGUGCAUGCAUUCUUCGGAAGUUGGACCUAUUCAAUUCAGCUCCAGAUUUUGGACGGGUUCAACUGAAUUCAUUGUUUUUGGCGCAAAAUUUGAUAGCUGAAGAUAGUGUUAGAGAUUAUAGCAUGUUGCUUAUAUGGUGUUUCUUACUUGUAAGUUUCUAUCCUCUAACACUGUAAAGAAGUUUUUACAUUAAUA